UACAGAGGUCUCAAGCGUUGUUCGGAUUCAUUGGGCGUAAAGGGUGUGUAGGUGGCUCGGUAAGUCGGGUGUGAAAUUUCGGAGCUUAACUCCGAAACUGCAUUCGAUACUGCGGGGCUUGAGGACUGGAGAGGAGACUGGAAUUCAUGGUGUAGCAGUGAAAUGCGUAGAGAUCAUGAGGAAGACCAGUGGCGAAGGCGGGUCUCUGGACAGUUCCUGACACUGAGACACGAAGGCCAGGGGAGCAAACGGG
rnacentral:rRNA from 1 species